UCCUGGCUCAGGAUGAACGCUGGCGGCGUGCCUAACACAUGCAAGUCGAACGGAAUUUACAUGAAGCCUAGCGAUUGUAAAUUUAGUGGCGGACGGGUGAGUAACGCGUGGGUAACCUGCCUUGUACUGGGGGACAACAGUUGGAAACGACUGCUAAUACCGCAUAAGCGCACAGCUUCGCAUGAAGCAGUGUGAAAAACUCCGGUGGCGUGAGAUGGACCCGCGUCUGAUUAGCUAGUUGGCAGGGCAACGGCCUACCAAGGCGACGAUCAGUAGCCGACCUGAGAGGGUGACCGGCCACAUUGGGACUGAGACACGGCCCAAACUCCUACGGGAGGCAGCAGUGGGGAAUAUUGCACAAUGGGGGAAACCCUGAUGCAGCGACGCCGCGUGAGCGAAGAAGUAUUUCGGUAUGUAAAGCUCUAUCAGCAGGGAAGAAGAAAUGACGGUACCUGACUAAGAAGCACCGGCUAAAUACGUG
rnacentral:rRNA from 1 species